rnacentral:rRNA from 1 species
AACGAACGCUGGCGGCAGGCCUAACACAUGCAAGUCGAACGCUCGUAGCAAUACGGGAGUGGCGCACGGGUGAGUAACGCGUGGGCACCUGCCCGGUGGUCCGGAAUAACCGCGGGAAACUGCGGCUAAUAGCGAAUACGCCCUUAGGGGGAAAGAUUUAUCGCCAUCGGAUGGGCCCGCGUAGGAUUAGCUAGUUGGUGAGGUAACGGCUCACCAAGGCGACGAUCCUUAGCUGGUCUGAGAGGAUGAUCAGCCACACUGGGACUGAGACACGGCCCAGACUCCUACGGGAGGCAGCAGUGGGGAAUAUUGGACAAUGGGGGCAACCCUGAUCCAGCCAUGCCGCGUGAGUGAUGAAGGCCUUCGGGUUGUAAAGCUCUUUUGGCGGGGACGAUGAUGACGGUACCCGCAGAAUAAGCCCCGGCUAACUUCGUGCCAGCCGCCGCGGUAACAC